rnacentral:rRNA from 1 species
AGAGUUUGAUCCUGGCUCAGGACGAACGCUGGCGGCGUGCCUAAUACAUGCAAGUCGAACGAAGCUUUCUUUCACCGAAUGCUUGCAUUCACCGAAAGAAGCUUAGUGGCGAACGGGUGAGUAACACGUAGGCAACCUGCCCAAAAGAGGGGGAUAACACUUGGAAACAGGUGCUAAUACCGCAUAACCAUGAACACCGCAUGAUGUUCAUGUAAAAGACGGCUUUUGCUGUCACUUUUGGAUGGGCCUGCGGCGUAUUAACUUGUUGGUGGGGUAACGGCCUACCAAGGUGAUGAUACGUAGCCGAACUGAGAGGUUGAUCGGCCACAUUGGGACUGAGACACGGCCCAAACUCCUACGGGAGGCAGCAGUAGGGAAUCUUCCACAAUGGACGAAAGUCUGAUGGAGCAACGCCGCGUGAAUGAAGAAGGCCUUCGGGUCGUAAAAUUCUGUUGUCAGAGAAGAACGUGCGUGAGAGUAACUGUUCACGUAUUGACGGUAUCUGACCAGAAAGCCACGGCUAACUACGUGCCAGCAGCCGCGGUAAUACGUAGGUGGCAAGCGUUGUCCGGAUUUAUUGGGCGUAAAGGGAACGCAGGCGGUCUUUUAAGUCUGAUGUGAAAGCCUUCGGCUUAACCGAAGUAGUGCAUUGGAAACUGGAAGACUUGAGUGCAGAAGAGGAGAGUGGAACUCCAUGUGUAGCGGUGAAAUGCGUAGAUAUAUGGAAGAACACCAGUGGCGAAAGCGGCUCUCUGGUCUGUAACUGACGCUGAGGUUCGAAAGCGUGGGUAGCAAACAGGAUUAGAUACCCUGGUAGUCCACGCCGUAAACGAUGAGUGCUAAGUGUUGGAGGGUUUCCGCCCUUCAGUGCUGCAGCUAACGCAUUAAGCACUCCGCCUGGGGAGUACGGUCGCAAGACUGAAACUCAAAGGAAUUGACGGGGGCCCGCACAAGCGGUGGAGCAUGUGGUUUAAUUCGAAGCAACGCGAAGAACCUUACCAGGUCUUGACAUCUUCUGACAAUUCCAGAGAUGGAACGUUCCCUUCGGGGACAGAAUGACAGGUGGUGCAUGGUUGUCGUCAGCUCGUGUCGUGAGAUGUUGGGUUAAGUC